rnacentral:pre_miRNA from 13 species
AUCUUUGGUUAUCUAGCUGUAUGAGUGACGUACAAUCUUCAUAAAGCUAGAUAACCGAAAGU